rnacentral:rRNA from 1 species
GCUAGCAGCCAUAUCACCCUGCCUCUACCUGCUGGCUUUUAUCUGAAGCAAAGCAGGAAUGGGCUCUGGCUGGUACCUGGGUAGGAGACCAGAUGCAGCUGAAA